GACGAACGCUGGCGGCGCGCUUAACACAUGCAAGUCGAGCGAGAACCAGGCCUUCGGGCCGUGGGGACAGCGGCGAACGGGUGAGUAACACGUGGGUAAUCUGCCCUCGAUACUGGGAUAGCCCGGGGAAACCCGGAUUAAAUACCGGAUGGCCCCUUCGAGUCUUUCGGACUUGAAGGAAAAGGUAAGCUUCGGCCUCCGAUCGAGGAUGAGCCCGCGGCGGAUUAGCUUGUUGGUGAGGUAACGGCUCACCAAGGCGACGAUCCGUAGCUGGUCUGAGAGGACGAUCAG
rnacentral:rRNA from 1 species